GGGCAAGUACCAGCACCUCAGCCUAGUCGGUGCAGGUGAUAGUUAUGAAGCUAAGUCCUAGGCCAGGAACAAGGCAGCCAGUCCAGCCAGCAUAGUUGACCCCUCUAUGGACUGGGGCCAGUGCAGCCACAGCAUUCCAGUGCUCAGCCCCUCAGCUGGGAGAUCAGCGACUGCUGCCACGUGCCCAGAAAUGGCUCGUCCUUUCACUACAGCGGAAUGCAAUGAGGGUGGGUGAGAAGAUGAUGGGUCGGUUAUUUCAUUCCUUUUCUUUUUACAACUUCACUUUCAGAGACUUCAGCGUUCCAUGUCUGCUGUGCUGUGGAACCCAGAGUGCUCUUGCCUGGAUGGCUGAGAAUCCCUUGGACCCUGGAAGCACCUACUCCAUGAUGGCCCGCAGGAGGACCAAACUGGAGACAGUCCUGGCUCUGAGGAAACAGGAAGGAAGGAGGGUGAAAGGAACGUCCACCUGCACACAAAGGUAACUGUCCUCUACUCAGGGAAGAGUGAACCAGGACAAAGUAACUGUUUUAGAGAGCAAGGCAGCUCUCUGGGCUGAAAAAUGUUAACAGUUAAAGACCUUGCUAAGUCAAAGUCUGCCCCUAUCUCUGCCCUCUCCUGCUUCUAGGUGACCAAAAAAAAAAAAAAAA
rnacentral:lncRNA from 1 species